GUAACUUACGUUGAAGCGAUUUCGCGUUUUGAUAACCGAGGCACGUAUCUUUGAUGGGAACUGAACGGACAGUAGUUCAAGGUACUGCGUGUUAAGGCUUGGGCGAGCGGGAGAACUCUGUUUAGUCGGCAUGGACGAUUUUGACGACACCAUACUGUCUGUGUUCGAGGCUGGAUAAUGCCUGUCUGCAAAAAAGGCCAUGCUUGAGCGUCGUGGAUAACAACUAAGUUACAGUGAGAGAAAAUAUCUGCCAGUAUUGAUGAGGAGGCUUUGAAAAGCCUUAGCCGUGAUGACCUGAAGGAUCUUUUUCCUGGCCCUGAAAAUUUUCUCAGGAGAAAGAAGCUUUGGGAUUUCAUCAGCCAAAAGUGUGAAAAUACUACUGACCAAGAUGCCAACACUUGUAGUGGAAGUGGGAUUAUACCCUCAACUAGUGUCGUGCCACCAUGCCAGCCUCGAGCCUCCACCCCCAUAUCCCAAACUGCUGACAAAACAAUGAAAAUGCCAGACCCACCAGAGUAUGUGAUGUACACAGACUCAGAGUUAGAGAUGGUGUGCAGCCAGUACUUUGCAUUGCUCCGCAAUGGAAAGGGAAAGGAUUGCAAGAUGUCUAAGGAGCUAUGUUGCAGACUUAUAAGAAACACAAUCACCAGCAUGGUUGCUAUCCUGCGUGCUAGUCCCAUGGGGAAAGAAGUAAAAUACCCCUCCAAACUCGAAAUGAGAGUAAUGUCACAGAAGAUUGUUGACUAUACCCUAUGUUACGAGAUGCUGGCACAGAUAUGCCUUACCUGACCAUCUACACCAAAAUGUACAAGAGACUCCAAAAUAUGAGGUCCCCAAGGAAGAGGCAGGGCUCCAUGCCACAACGAGGGGUGGCAAAGAAGACUCUCUUUUGCUCAGACAACACAGACAAUGAGACAGAUGGUGACAGAAGUGGCAACACAAGCAGUUCAAGUGAUUACAACAUAAUUCUUGAGAGCAAUGAUGAGCUCAACGAGGACAGUUUCAGUGCAGGAAAAGUGUCUCCACCGCAGCCACCGUGUGCCAAGGAAGCCAUACAAUAGCACCCUGGCCUCACCGCUGCCAUCUGACUCAGCCUCAGACCCCUUGCCCAAGACUUUGACCACUCCACUAACUGCACCUGCAGAGGACGUUGUUGCCGGCGAGGACGUUCUGAAGAUGCAGGCGAGACACUACAAAACAUUGAGCAACAUGUACAAGAAGCCCAACGCAAAACCCAACCAAGGCGAUGUUGCCCAACUUUUGGACCUUGAGUUCGAGGCCAGGUGGGCUUUCAUUGAUGCAGAUGUUACAAAGGAAGAAGACUGACCCAUGAAAAUCUUUGAGGCAUAUCCAUGCUUCAGAGACACUCGAAAUGCAAUGGAUGAGCUGCGUCGCAUAAUUGGUGGCACCAACCGCAAAUACAUAGAGGAAAUGAAGGGAAGAUGGGCAGACUUUUGUGCUAAGGUGCAGUUCUAUGGUGUGUGGAAGAAGGCCCUGAAACCCCUUUUCCCCUUGGAUCUGCGUGGAGUGGAUUUCACUCUCACCCUCCUCAAUGCACUCCCAUCACUUUUCCCCUCACCAACUCCACCACCAAAGCGUCUCGGAAAUGCCAGUGAGGCACUGCUUCAUAUCCUUAAGCCGGGCGAGGACCCUGGGCUAUACCUGGAGAACCGGCUUCUCUCCGGUGCUGCUUUUUGAUGGAACAACCAGGAUUGUCGCCGUGGGAAACAUGCCUGUGAGCACCCUCCCCAAGGAGGAAUUCUGGGAAGGAAUGUUGGUAUUAAUGGCAUACUACCACACUCUGCACUUAACAUACCCAAAAUGUGUUGCCACGGUCCUCUCUGUCAUACAAACCGAGGUCAUUGGUGAUGCCAUCCAUGAUCAAGAUGCUACUAGCGCAUAUAAGAAAGCAAUAGUCGAAUGGAAAGCAUUCGUUGAAAAUAGGUGAACGUCAAGCAGCAUUUUGUCAGGACUGUUUGUUUUUGUUUGCAAUGUCUUUCAAUAACUUGUUUUGUGCCUGACUUGGCUAGCUACUCCACAAGUUUUCCCUCAGUGUCCUUAGGUUAUUUGCCAAAAUAACUCACCAGGGUUCCUUCAGAUCCUUAAAAGGUCUUUCUUUAUGCUUUCGAGAGGUCUCAAAUUUUAGAUGGCACUUUAACUGAGACAUAUUUGAAUACUUUAUUACACUGUCUAGAGUUAUACGCAUUUAAUUUAAGUUUUUGUGGAUUGUCUUGUUCACGUGACUAAAGCAAUUAUGGCAGCGUAUUACGUGUUUUGAUUGCUGUUUGUUUGCUGUGCAAAAGUGAUAUUUAAUUAUUUUUUUUAACUCUUAAAUCGUCUUAAAUUUGAUGUUAAAAAGUGUGCAGCAACCCUGACUCACUGUUACUGGUGUACAUGUUAUUAUAUGCUGUUAUUCUUGACAGUUUAAUAAAUGUUGACAGUACUCAACUUGCCAUGGUUGUGAUUCAGUAGAAUCAGUUAAGAUGUAUAUUCUAAGAAUAAGCACUGGUUUUAAGUUUUUGGUUUUAGUUUUAAUAUGGAUUUAGGUUUAUUUCAAGAUGAGCCAACUUGUAUCAAGAAACAGCUUAAUCAUACUUCACUAAUACUGAGUAAUGUUUUGCUUAAAUUAGUGAUUUUUUUCUUGUUCUGAAGCCUUAAUUUGCUAAAAUUAAGAAUACAAUUUUGUUUUAAAAUAAGAAUUAUUUGCUUAUAUUCAGUAUAUUUCACUUAUUAUUGUACUGUUGGAAGUUUAUUUUCAAGUAAUUUGAUCUAAUAAUCAGCCUUUUCUGCUUAUUUUAAUCCUUUUGAACACUUAUCAGCGCCUCCUUAUUUUAAGAUUUAACAAUCUUAUUUCAAGAUUUCUUGUUAAGUGAAAUUAACUUGCUGCAUGGACAGAUAAUUUCUCUUGUUUUAAGUAAUUUCCUCCUCAAAUUUAGUGUUUUUUUUUUUUUUUCUUUUUUCUUAUAUUUUAGCCACCCUAAUUUGCAGUGUAAGUGUUUUAAAACUUUUGACCGGUAGUGUAUGUGUGUGUGUAUAUUGGGUUGAGGAAUAACGGAAUACAUGUAACGGGAUUACGUAUUUAAAAUACACAAUAUAUAUAACUGUAUUCCACUACAGUUACAAUUUAAAUCAUUGGUAAUUAGAAUACAGUUACAUUCAAAAAGUAUUUGAUUACUGAAGAGAUUACUUUGCAUUUUAUUGUCAUUUGUUUCAUUUAAUAUUUAGUCCUUUCAGAUGAAAAACAUUUAUACAUAUAAAUGAUGUGAUCCAAAGUGCAUUUGUACAGCGGUGAAACACUUUCUCAUUAUGUGUUACAUUCAUACGAGCAGACAGAGAAGUAAGUUUAAAGUAAGUUUGGAGCAGAAGAAAUAGAAAUAAACCUUGUGUUAAUUGUCAAUUUUACGCUAAGCUAAAAUGCUAUUUCUGACCAUUUUACAUGCACAUGUAACCAGGUACGAUUAUAUUUUUUUUAUCAAGAAAAUUCACGUUGGAUCAUAAUAUCUUUUUUUCUAGUAAGACCUUUGAUAUUAGGGCAAUAAUCAUAUUCUUGAUGAUAAUUUUUGUAUUGUGUUCCUGUAAAAAUAUCUAAAAAUCAUUCAAACAAGAUCAAUAUGAUUUAUCUUGUUUUAGAAACAACACUGCAUAAGAUAUUUCGGUUUUUCAGAGAAUGUAUUUUUAACAUGUGUAUUUUGUCUUACUGUACUGGCAGAGUUUUUAUAGUCAAAACAAGUGAAAAAAUCUACCAGUGCUGAAGAAGUAAUCCAAAGUAUUUAGAAUACGUUACUGACCUUGAGUAAUCUAACAGAAUACAUUACAAAUUACAUUUUACAGCAUGUAUUCUGUAAUCUGUAGUGGAAUACAUUUAAAAAGUAACCCUCACAACCCUGUAUAUAUAUAUAUAUAUAUAUAUAUAUAUAUAUAUAUGGAACAUCAAAAUAAUUGUCAUUCACUUAUUGUCCUUGUGUGAUAUUUUACUUAAUAUAAUAGUAAAAAAAAUAAAUAUAUAAAUUAUUAUGGAGUUUUGUGAAAAUUAUUGUAAAGUAAAAACCAUUUGAACAUCAAUUAAUGUGUUACUAAUGUUUGUUUACACUUAAUUUAUGAUAAAUAAUUAUAAUAAAAUGUAUUGUGCAUAUUGUGAACCUUACUGUAAAGUGGAAACCAUGUAAACAUAAAUUAAUGAGUUACAAAUGUUUGUUGACUCUUAAAUAAGUAAUGAUAAAUACAUUUUAAUUGUGCAUUUUGUGAACUUUAUUGUAAAGUAGAAUCCAUGUAAACAUCAAUCAAUGAGUUAAUAAUGUUUAUUGACUCUUACUUAAUAAUAAAUAAUGAUAAAGUAUUUAUUGUGAUUAUUUGUGAACCUUAUUGUAAAAAAAAAAACAAAAAACAUAUUUCAACAUUACCUAAUGUGUUAUUAAUGUUUUUAGUCUCUUUACUAACAUUAUUUAACAAUAACAAAUGCAUUAAUUAUGGGUAAUGAAAGACCUUAUUGUAAAGUGAAAGCAAUUCACUUGAUACAAACAUUUGCAGGACAUUUGUUAGCAUUGCAAAGGUAAUGCAUUAAUUUAACUAUCGAAUAAACAAUCAAUACCACAUACAGUAUAUAGUUCUGAGAACAGAAACGUAAUUAAAAAAUAUAGCAGCAAUAAUGGGGCCAAGCCCACCAACGUAUGGCAUGUAUGUAUGGAAAUGUCACUGGACAUCACUGAUUAUGACUUUAAUAAAAGCAGCAUAAUGACAAAAUUAAAAAUGUCCAAUGCCCAAAAUGGCCUACAUAAGAAAAUUGGGUAUUGUUCAACUUAGCAUGCCCCAAGGAAUCUUUAUAGACAGGUCUCAUGAUUUUAGUUCAAAGUAUUCAUAAGUUAUAAGCAAAAAUACCCUUUUUUGUUUUUAUUUUUUUUCAUAUUUCCUGACCACUAGGUCGUACUGUACUGAAACUGUGCAGGUAUCCUCAAGUCAUGAUGGCUAUGACAUAUACCAAGUUUUGCGUCAGUAUGCCUAAGCGUAGCAAAGAUACAGCCUCUGAUAGCACCUGAAAAAGAGAGAAAGCAAUAUAAUUCUCAGCACUCUCAGGUAAACAACCAGAGUUUUUAACAUGUCUGACUGUUAGAGAGCCACUUGUUGUCCGAUCCACGUAAAAUUUUGCAUGCUUCUUUGGAAUCAUGUUUCAUUUUUGUACUAAAUUUGAUUUCAAUCGGAGCCUUUGUUUAGGAGUUAUUGGCUUUGGGUAAACUAAGCCACACCCAUAUGUUUAAAUUACACUAUUAUAGCCAUUCUAAAUACAAAAGUUCUAUGUUUUAUUUAUAAUUAUUGAUCUAGAAGUCCAGAGAUUUGUGCUACACUGGUUUUGUUGAGGAUGAGUGGAAAAACCUAGGACUCGUUCACAAAAAUGUACAUUUUUUAAUCUCAAAUAUUUAACAAACAAUUUGGUGAUAAUACCUUAUUCCGUUCAAGAGUUAUAACUGUUUUUGUAAAAGCGGCCCCACCCGCUACAUACGUUUUGGUGUAUCUUUGCAACGAUGAAUUGAAAGUUCAAACUGUUUUUGAUAAUUAUUAAUAUUGGGACUCCAGUGAAUCUUUCUGCAUUAUUUGGGUUCCGAUCUGGUGAAUGGCCUAAGACUAGACUGUUUUUUUUUUUUUUUUAAAUUCAAAAUAGCAAGAAAAUGAGGGGGUGGAUCAAAAAUUGGCCAGAGCUUAAAAUAUUUGUCAUGACACAAGGAAUCACUGGGGGAAAAAAUGGUUUCUAGUCCUUACGGUUCAAGAGUUAUGGCCCAAAAUUGGAUUUUUUAUAUUGCUCACCAUCGUGCCAUCUAUGGGCCGAUUCCACGCGUAAGGCUAGCCAGCUGGAGUACUACCAUCUCUGAAAGUUUCAAGUUUCUAGGCCUUACGGUUUGGUCUGCACAAUCAGUUUUAGGGCAGAAUAAUAAUAAUAAUAUAGCAGCAAGCAGCAAUUAACGGGGUUCAAGCCUUUAUGGUCCUCUAAGUACAUAUGUAACAGAUAGUAAGUAUUAAUUAGAGUCUGUUAGCACCUAAAACAAUGAUAACGUACCUUACUUUUCAGAAACAUGUUAGGAAGCACAAAGACAUGGUAUUUUUUACAUUCCUGAUUUUAAAUUUGGUGAUUAUAUCUCAUUCAAUAUUUUUGACCUUUUUAGAAAAAGCCUCACGUCCAUUUUUGGCGUGCUCAUGCUCAGAUUCGUUAAAGGGUUAUUUAUGAAUGGUGUGGUCUAUCAAAAAGCUUUUGAUAAUUUUUUUGUUUUGUUUGUCAGAGCUGUCCCUAGAUGAUAAACGACAAAUUUAGAGCAAAUUGGACAAACAGUCUAGUAGGAGGAAAAUCAACCGGGAAAUUGUGAAACAUUUCAUUUUGGGGCAUGACCUAAGGAAUCAGAAUAAGAAAAAAAAAUAUAUAUAUUUAUAGGCAUCACAGUUCAAAAGGUAUAGGCCAAAAUUCGUGUGAAAGUUUGAACAGUUGGUGGUGCUAGAGGGAUUGACUUAGUUAUAGUUCAGAGUGUCCUCUAUUAGUGUGCAAAAUGUUAUAACUUCCCAGUGUACGGUUCUAAGGGGGAAUGCAGGCUCAAUAGCGGAAGAACAAGAAGAAGAGGAAAAAAUUUAUAAAAUUAAGGGAAUAAUAAAAAUUCUAAAUGGCAGACAGGAUGUAAGGCUGACUAUUCAGAAGGCUGACCAUCCAAACUAUUCAGAAGUUAUGAGCAACAAUAGCAAUUUUUCAUAUCUCCUGACCACUAGGUGGCACAGUGGGUAAUACUGCAGGUUACCUCAGGUAACGCAUGUCAUGACACAGUAAGUUUUGUCGCUAGAGGGUGCGUUAGAGACCCCAAAUUUUGGUAAUAUACAAUUGAGAGUGUCUUCUAUCAAUGUGCCAAAUUUCAUAACUUUCCUAUGUGCAUUUCUACCCAGAUAGCAAGGUGACAUUGAUUCAAUGUUGAAAUUCCAUCAGAAUCAUUAUUUUGGUUGACGUUGAAUAUUCAGUGCUAAAAUAAUAUUGAAUCAAUGUUGAUAAUUCAUUGCUUUUCAGUGUUGAAAAGACAAACAUUGAAUCAAUGUUGAUUUUUCGUUGAUUGACUGUUGUACAUCUCUGACAGCAAUUCAGUGACGUCAAGGCUACAUUGUGAUUGGUUAUCAAGGCACACGUGAUCCAAGUUGACAGUUACGCUUUCUCCUACGGUAGAGCCACGGAUUCAGCUGGCUCUCCCUCCAGCUAAGCUGCGGUCAGAGUGCAGGGUCAGCCAUGAUACGGCACCCCUGGAGCAGAUGGGGUCAAGGGCCUUGCUCAAGGGCCCAAUGGUGGCAUUGUGACGUUGUUGGGGCUUGAACCCCUGACCAUCUAGUCAGUAACCCAGAGCCUUAACCACCAAACCACCACUGCAGCUAGCUACUUAGGGUGGCAAUGGAAAUGUUGCUUUCUGAGAAUUCAUCGGAACCACUUUAAGGCUCUGUGCUGGGAAGAAAGUUUCCAAUUUUCCAGUGCUCUUGAACGUGGCAUAACAGACGCUAAGCGCGAAACAGACAAAGGAGGACAGAGAUGGAGAGGAGGCAUAAAAGCUGAUACUUCUGCGUCGGACCUACGCUGUAGCCUCCACAUCUGUUUGGAUUUAUAGUUCUGCGUCGCCGCUAGUUGCAGAUGAGCAAGUUGAUUGCAGGCCCUUCAAUGAGCUGCCACAAGAUUGAAGAAAUGGAAGCACUGGUAAAUGCUGCCGUUGCCAUUUCCACACUGGCCAACUUUAUAUCAGAAAAGACAUCAGAGGGACAUUUCCUGGGUUCGCUCACAUAUGGUCAGAGAAUGGAAUCUCCUGAAUCAAGGCAGAUAAUAAAAGG